UCAUUGUGGCUUACAGAGCUCCCUACGACGCACACAUAGAAUUCGUGACCAACUACUUCAAAAACUUCAAAUGCCCCCCCAAAAAAGGUGAUCCUUUUGUAUGCAAUGAGACUUACCCCACUGCUAAGUACUGUGUGUUUGGCAGACGUGGAUCCGGCAUCCUCUGCUCCGGAUGCAGAAUUCAAUACGAAAUCUGCGCCCACGAAGUUAUGAUUGACGAGAAAUCUACUAGAUGUAGCCCGAAUGUGAGCUCAACUGAAUGUACUUUCAAUAACACCGAUGUCCCAUUAGUGAUGUAAAUAUUGAGGU
rnacentral:sRNA from 1 species